GACGAACGCUGGCGGCGUGCUUAACACAUGCAAGUCGAACGGAAAGGCCCUGCUUUUGUGGGGUGCUCGAGUGGCGAACGGGUGAGUAACGCGUGAGUAACCUGCCCUUGACUUUGGGAUAACUUCAGGAAACUGGGGCUAAUACCGGAUAGGAGCUCCUGCUGCAUGGUGGGGGUUGGAAAGUUUCGGCGGUUGGGGAUGGACUCGCGGCUUAUCAGCUUGUUGGUGGGGUAGUGGCUUACCAAGGCUUUGACGGGUAGCCGGCCUGAGAGGGUGACCGGCCACAUUGGGACUGAGAUACGGCCCAGACUCCUGCGGGAGGCAGCAGUGGGGAAUAUUGCACAAUGGGUGGAAGCCUGAUGCAGCAACGCCGCGUGCGGGAUGACGGCCUUCGGGUUGUAAACCGCUUUCGCCUGUGACGAAGCGUGAGUGACGGUAAUGGGUAAAGAAGCACCGGCUAACUACGUG
rnacentral:rRNA from 1 species